CCUACGGGUGGCAGCAGUGGGGAAUAUUGCGCAAUGGGCGAAAGCCUGACGCAGCGACGCCGCGUGAGGGAUGAAGGUCUUCGGAUCGUAAACCUCUGUCAGCAGGGAAGAACGGUCACUGUGCUAAUCAGCAGUGAAUUGACGGUACCUGCAAAGGAAGCACCGGCUAACUCCGUGCCAGCAGCCGCGGUAAUACGUAGGGGGCAAGCGUUAUCCGGAUUCACUGGGUGUAAGGGGAGCGUAGACGGCCAGGCAAGCCUGGAGUGAAAGCCCGGGGCCCAACCCCGGGACUGCUCUGGGAACUGUCUGGCUGGAGUGCGGGAGGGGCAGGCGGAAUUCCUGGUGUAGCGGUGAAAUGCGUAGAUAUCAGGAGGAACACCGGCGGCGAAGGCGGCCUGCUGGACCGCGACUGACGUUGAGGCUCGAAAGCGUGGGGAGCGAACAGGAUUAGAUACCCUUGUAGUC
rnacentral:rRNA from 1 species